AUGGCGAGCUCGUACAGGGCCGGGAAGGAUGAGGAGGCGCGGAUCGACGGCAACGACAGGCGGCAGAGGUUGAGGAAGGCGGCCGAUCCCGGGGCUUGGCGGCGUCCUUGCCUGAGCUGGGCCUUACAGACGACGUGGUCGACGACGGGGAAGCGGACGAGCAAGUUCCUAGGGCGCGGGGAGCUCGGUGUGCGGGAAGACGAUGAAAGCCAUGGCGGCGGUGACUCUGUUGCGGAGGGGAGAGAGGAGGGCGUGCGAAUGAGAGGGCAUUUUGGGAAUUCAGAUAAGAUUGGUUUCAUCAGGACAAAUACUUAG
rnacentral:rRNA from 1 species